AUGAAGGUUUUCGGAUCGUAAAACUCUGUUGUUAGGGAAGAACAAGUACCGUUCGAAUAGGGCGGUACCGUGACGGUACCUAACCAGAAAGCCACGGCUAACUACGUGCCAGCAGCCGCGGUAAUACGUAGGUGGCGAGCGUUAUCCGGAAUUAUUGGGCGUAAAGCGCGCGCAGGCGGUUUCUUAAGUCUGAUGUGAAAACCCACGGCUCAACCGUGGAGAGUCAUUGGAAACUGGGGAACUUGAGUGCAGAAGAGAAAAGCGGAAUUCCACGUGUAGCGGUGAAAUGCGUAGAGAUGUGGAGGAACACCAGUGGCGAAGGCGGCUUUUUGGUCUGUAACUGACGCUGAGGCGCGAAAGCGUGGGGAGCAAACAGGAUUAGAUACCCUGGUAGUCCACGCCGUAAACGAUGAGUGCUAAGUGUUAGAGGGUUUCCGCCCUUUAGUGCUGCAGCUAACGCAUUAAGCACUCCGCCUGGGGAGUACGGUCGCGAGACUGAAACUCAAAGGAA
rnacentral:rRNA from 1 species